rnacentral:rRNA from 1 species
UACGGAGGGUGCAAGCGUUGCUCGGAAUCAUUGGGCGUAAAGCGCACGUAGGCGGACCGCUAAGUCGGAUGUGAAAGCCCUCGGCUUAACUGUGGGCUUGCGGUCGAUACGGGCAUCACUGGAGUUCGGCAGGGGAGACUGGAAUUCCUGGUGUAGCGGUGAAAUGCGCAGAUAUCAGGAGGAACACCGAUGGCGAAGGCAGGUCUCUGGGCAUUAACUGACGCUGAGGAGCGAAAGCAUGGGGAGCGAACAGG